rnacentral:tRNA from 1 species
GGGCUUGUAGUUUAUAUAGAAUAUUCGGCUUCGGAUCGAAUGGUAGGGGUUAAUCCUCAGGCCUAC